rnacentral:rRNA from 1 species
AGGCGUGUAAAAGCGUGCGUGGGUUCGAAUCCCNCCAUGCCGAACACAGAAGUUAAGCCCUAGAACGCCGGAAGUAGUUGGGGGUUGCCCCCUGUGAGAUAGGGAAGUCGCUUAGCU